UACAGAGGUCCCAAGCGUUGUUCGGAUUCAUUGGGCGUAAAGGGUGCGUAGGUGGCGCCGUAAGUCAGGUGUGAAAUUUCGGAGCUUAACUCCGAAACUGCAUUUGAUACUGCGGUGCUUGAGGACUGGAGAGGAGACUGGAAUUUACGGUGUAGCAGUGAAAUGCGUAGAGAUCAUGAGGAAGACCAGUGGCGAAGGCGGGUCUCUGGACAGUUCCUGACACUGAGGCACGGAA
rnacentral:rRNA from 1 species